UACGAAGGGAGCUAGCGUUGUUCGGAUUUACUGGGCGUAAAGCGCGUGUAGGCGGGUCGUUAAGUCGGGGGUGAAAGCCCAGAGCUCAACUCUGGAACUGCCUUCGAUACUGGCGACCUGGAACCGGUCAGAGGCUAGUGGAAUACCGAGUGUAGAGGUGAAAUUCGUAGAUAUUCGGUGGAACACCAGUGGCGAAGGCGACUAGCUGGGACCGUGUUGACGCUGAGACGCGAAAGCGUGGGGAGCAAACAGG
rnacentral:rRNA from 1 species